rnacentral:rRNA from 1 species
CGUCAAGUCAUCAUGCCCCUUAUAUCCAGGGCUGCAAACACGCUACAAUGGCCGGUACAGAGGGCUGCGAGCUCGUGAGAGUGAGCGAAUCCCGCAAAGCCGGUCUCAGUUCGGAUUGAAGGCUGCAACUCGCCUUCAUGAAGCUGGAGUUGCUAGUAAUCCCGGAUCAGCACGCCGGGGUGAAUACGUUCCCGGGCCUU